rnacentral:rRNA from 1 species
UACGUAGGGUGCAAGCGUUGUCCGGAAUUAUUGGGCGUAAAGAGCUCGUAGGCGGCCCGCACAAGUCUGCGGUGAAAACCCCCGGCUUAACCGGGGGCCGGCCGUGGAAACUGUCGGGCUAGAGGCCGGGAGAGGGCAGCGGAAUUCCCGGUGUAGCGGUGAAAUGCGUAGAGAUCGGGAGGAACACCGGCGGCGAAGGCGGCUGCCUGGACCGGCCCUGACGCUGAGGCGCGAAAGCUAGGGGAGCAAACAGG